rnacentral:rRNA from 1 species
GACGAACCGUGCGAACGUUGUUCGGAUUCACUGGGCUUAAAGGGCGCGUAGGCGGGCCGUAAAGUCGGGGGUGAAAUCUUUCAGCUCAACUGGAAAAGAGCCUUCGAUACUGACGGCCUCGAGGGAGGUAGGGGCGUGCGGAACUUCCGGUGGAGCGGUGAAAUGCGUAGAGAUCGGAAGGAACGCCGGUGGCGAAAGCGGCGCGCUGGACCUCUUCUGACGCUGAGGCGCGAAAGCCAGGGGAGCAAACGGG